GCCGCGUUAGCUCAGCCUGGGAGAGCAUGCGGCUGAAGAAUUUCCAAGGGGGGUUUGCUAAAAUUCCCUUUUGAGGUUUUGGCACCGCAGUGUCGCUGGUUCAAAUCCGGCACGCGGCA
rnacentral:tRNA from 1 species